ACUAAUGUACAGUAAACAUUCAUUCUGCAGUUUCACCAAACAUCAACUGAGAUCCAAGUCAAAUCCAGUUCCACACUGUGAGGAGGAGUCAAUGCAAAACUCAGAUGUCUUCCACCUCUACUUAUCUGACUGCAGAGAGGAUGACAGAGAACAGUGGACACACAGUUUAACAUGAUGGACUAUAGGACAGGACUGCUGCUGUUAACUAUCUGCUGGGCAGGUGUUGAUGGUCAGACUCUGACAGAAUCUGAACCAGUGGUUAAAAGGCCUGGAGAAUCUCACAGAUUGACCUGUACAGCCUCUGGAUUCUCAUUCAGCAGCUCUUAUAUGGCCUGGGUCAGACAGGCUCCUGGAAAAGGACUGGAGUGGAUUGCUUAUAUAAGCACAGCUAGUACUCCGAUCUAUUACUCCCAGUCAGUCCAGGGUAGAUUCACCAUCUCCAGAGAUGACUCCAGCAGUAAACUCUAUCUGCAGAUGAACAGUCUGAAGACCGAGGACACAGCAGUGUAUUACUGUGCCAGAGAGACACAGUGAGAGACAAUAACAGGAGAGUCAUACAAAAACUACUUCCUCUAUUUACAACCACUGAGAAGAUUCAC